rnacentral:misc_RNA from 1 species
UCUCGGGAUGACUCUCGCCAGUAGCAGGGGAGGCGUGGCAGGACACUGGUGUGGGCAGGGAGGCUGAGUGGUAGUGUGGCGGCGACUAUGAAGUUGACGUGACAUGUUGACCAUGUGGCGAGCAGCGUGUGUCCUGGUGGUGGUGGUGGUGGUGAGGUGUUACGCUGCUGCCACCGCCCACUCCAUCUCUAGUCAAGCCAAGGUGACCACAACACCCAAGAAGCUUCUGUGUCACUACAACCUCCAGUGCCCUGGCCAGCGUCCCCCACCAUCCUUGCCCCUCUCAGCCCUCGACCCCAGCUUGUGCACCCAUAUUGUCAUCUCCUCAGCUGUCGUGCACAACACCACCAUCCAGCCUUGCACUCCGGGACACACUGAGGUGUACAAGGAAGUGGUGUCCCUCAAGAGGCAGCACCCAAAGCUUCAGGUGAUGGUGAGAGUGGAAGGGAACUGGACAACUCUGAUCCAGGAUGCUCAAGCUGUGGCUGUGUUCGCCUAUAAUACAAGAAAAUUCUUGCAUACUUUGAACUUUGAUGGCCUUGAGGUAGCCUGGCAACCUCCUAUGUGGCCUCCAUGGAGACAUGCCACGGUGCAGCAGGUUUCUCUCCUCCUCCUUCAGCUCAACAAUGCCCUCCAGCUGGCCUCGCAUCCACCCUUCACUCUGUCGAUGGCAGUGUCAGCCUCACAAGAUCCCAUCGAUCAUGCAUAUGACGUCACAAUCAUAAACCGAACAGUUGAUUUUGUGAGUUUGGCUUCUUACGACUUCCACACCUACCGCUCUUCCUUGCCCUUCACUGGCCAUGGCUCUCCUCUAAAACCGCAGAAGGCAGAGCACGGCCACUGGGCAACUCUCAACACAGAAUGGGCGGUGAAGCACUGGCUGAGCAAAGGUCUACCCCGUGAGAAACUGGUGGUUGUUAUUCCCACAUAUGCCAACACCUGGAAGUUGCUCUCUUCAUCAUGGAUUCGGGUAGGAGCACCAGCUGUAGGGCUGGGAUUGAUGGAGGGACGGAUGACACACCCACAGGUCUGUACAUUUGUACAGAAGGGCUCUGCAUGGCACUGGGACGAAGCAAGCAGAGUACCAUAUGCCUGGAAUAGCUGUGAUUGGAUAUCAUAUGAAGAUGAGAGCAGUGUGAAAGAGAAGGCUCAGCUAGUGGUGGCAGAGGGCCUGGCUGGAGUGGCUGUCCUUGACUUGAACUCUGAUGACUGGGGUGGCCUGUGCCCUGAGGUCACCACAUUUCCACUACUGAGGGCUGCCAAGGAUGUAUUGAGCAGAUUUGGAUUAUGAACAGAUAUCUGAGUCUUGACUGCAGUGAUGCCCUGGGUGUGGCGAUGAGGAAUACUGGCAGCAGAGGAUGGCUGGUGUGGUGGUGGUUGGCAGGACUUUCCAGAAGCCCUCAACUGAGAUAUGGUUGUGGUGGCAGACAGGGUCUUCUCCCCUGAAACAACCUGAAGCAUCCCAAUGAGGCCUGGUGUCCGCGCUAGCUGACUCUGGGUGCUGUUGGCCACAAUGUACACUUCAUGUGUCUCUCCAGCACCUACUACCACUCGAGUUGGCUGCACUGAAAGAUGGUGCUGGUGCUGGUGCUGGUGUUUGACGGUGCUUACCAGAGAACAUCUGGAGGAUAAGUAAUAAAGUACGAUGGCCAGUGUUUGUGAUGGAAGUUUGUAGGAUGCUGGUAAUCCAGGGGAGAGAUCCUUGAGGAUGAAAGGCUUGCCUGCACUGCUGUCCUUCACCACCAACUCCCCCUGUCCUCCGUAUCCUUGCAGUGGAAUCUGGUGAAUAAAAUAAUUUGCAUAUUGUUAACUGUAUCAUGCAAUUUGUAUGCAGAAAAUAAAGAUACGUACUGGA